AGAAUCAACGCUGGCGGCGUGCCUAACACAUGCAAGUCGAACGCGAAAGUCCCGCAAGGGAUAAGUAGAGUGGCAAACGGGUGAGUAACACGUGGGUGACCUGCCUUCGAGCGGGGGAUAACGUCCCGAAAGGGACGCUAAUACCGCAUGAUGUCCUGCCUUUGAAGAGGUGGAGACCAAAGCCGGGGACCGCAAGGCCUGGCACUCGAUGAGGGGCCCGCGUCUGAUUAGCUAGUUGGUGGGGUAAUGGCUCACCAAGGCAACGAUCAGUA
rnacentral:rRNA from 1 species